CCUACGGGAGGCAGCAGUGAGGAAUAUUGGUCAAUGGACGAGAGUCUGAACCAGCCAAGUAGCGUGAAGGAUGACUGCCCUAUGGGUUGUAAACUUCUUUUAUAAAGGAAUAAAACGAGGCACGUGUGCCUUUUUGCAUGUACUUUAUGAAUAAGGAUCGGCUAACUCCGUGCCAGCAGCCGCGGUAAUACGGAGGAUCCGAGCGUUAUCCGGAUUUAUUGGGUUUAAGGGGAGCGUAGAUGGGUUGUUAAGUCAGUUGUGAAAGUUUGCGGCUCAACCGUAAAAUUGCAAUUGAUACUGGCAGUCGUGAGUACAGUUGAGGUAGGCGGAAUUCGUGGUGUAGCGGUGAAAUGCUUAGAUAUCACGAAGAACCCCGAUUGCGAAGGCAGCUUACUAAACUGUGACUGACAUUGAUGCUCGAAAGUGUGGGUAUCAAACAGGAUUAGAUACCCUAGUAGUC
rnacentral:rRNA from 1 species